rnacentral:rRNA from 1 species
CAGGCUUAAUACAUGCAAGUCGUGGGGUAGAGAGGUGCUUGCACUUCUUGAGACCGGCAAACGGGUGCGGAACACGUACACAACCUUCCUUUUAGAGGGGGAUAGCCCAGGGAAACUUGGAUUAAUACCCCGUAAGAUGUUGGUGAGGCAUCUCACUGAUAUUAUAGCAGCGAUGCGCUAGAAGACGGGUAUGCGUAUGAUUAGGUAGUUGGCGGGGUAAUGGCCCACCAAGCCUACGAUCAUUAACUGGUGUGAGAGCACGACCAGUCACACGGGCACUGAGACACGGGCCCGACUCCUACGGGAGGCAGCAGUAAGGAAUAUUGGUCAAUGGACGCAAGUCUGAACCAGCCAUGCCGCGUGGAGGAUGAAGGUCCUCUGGAUUGUAAACUUCUUUUAUCUGGGGCGAAAAAGGGUCUUUCUAGAUCAACUGACGGUACCAGAUGAAUAAGCACCGGCUAACUCCGUGCCAGCAGCCGCGGUAAUACGGAGGGUGCAAGCGUUAUCCGGAUUCACUGGGUUUAAAGGGAGCGUAGGUGGGCUAGUAAGUCAGUGGUGAAAUCUCCGAGCUUAACUUGGAAACUGCCAUUGAUACUAUUGGUCUUGAAUAUUGUGGAGGUUAGCGGAAUAUGUCAUGUAGCGGUGAAAUGCAUAGAUAUGACAUAGAACACCAAUUGCGAAGGCAGCUGGCUACACAUAUAUUGACACUGAGGCUCGAAAGCGUGGGGAUCAAACAGGAUUAGAUACCCUGGUAGUCCACGCCCUAAACUAUGGAUACUCGACA